CGUCCGGGGUGGCGCUGGGCUUGCGUCCGGGCGUGUGACGUCCGGGAUCGCGUUCGGUGUGCGGCCGGGCGU
rnacentral:tRNA from 1 species